rnacentral:tRNA from 1 species
AAAGCUGUAGUAUAAAUUUUAGUAUAUUUUAUUGUCUGUAAGUAGGUGUGGGCUUUG